UACGUAGGGUCCGAGCGUUGUCCGGAAUUAUUGGGCGUAAAGGGCUCGUAGGCGGUCCGUCACGUCGGGAGUGAAAACUCAGGGCUCAACCCUGAGCGUGCUUCCGAUACGGGCGGACUAGAGGUAUGCAGGGGAGAACGAAUUCCUGGUGUAGCGGUGGAAUGCGCAGAUAUCAGGAGGAACACCGGUGGCGAAGGCGGAUCUCUGGGCCUGAUCUGACGCUGAGGCGCGAAAGCUAGGGGAGCAAACAGG
rnacentral:rRNA from 1 species